UACGUAGGUGGCAAGCGUUGUCCGGAUUUACUGGGCGUAAAGAGCGCGCAGGCGGUCAGAUAAGUCGAAUGUGAAAGCCCCCGGCUCAACUGGGGAGGGUCAUUCGAUACUGUUCGACUCGAAGGCAGGAGAGGGAAGUGGAAUUCCCGGUGUAGCGGUGAAAUGCGUAGAGAUCGGGAGGAACACCAGAGGCGAAGGCGGCGACCUGGACAGACACUGACACUCAACUGCGAAAGCGUGGGGAGCAAACAGG
rnacentral:rRNA from 1 species